rnacentral:rRNA from 1 species
UAGGGAAUCUUCCGCAAUGGGCGAAAGCCUGACGGAGCAACGCCGCGUGAGUGAUGAAGGUCUUCGGAUCGUAAAACUCUGUUAUUAGGGAAGAACAUAUGUGUAAGUAACUGUGCACAUCUUGACGGUACCUAAUUNNAAAGCCACGGCUAACUACGUGCCAGCAGCCGCGGUAAUACGUAGGUGGCAAGCGUUAUCCGGAAUUAUUGGGCGUAAAGCGCGCGUAGGCGGUUUUUUAAGUCUGAUGUGAAAGCCCACGGCUCAACCGUGGAGGGUCAUUGGAAACUGGAAAACUUGAGUGCAGAAGAGGAAAGUGGAAUUCCAUGUGUAGCGGUGAAAUGCGCAGAGAUAUGGAGGAACACCAGUGGCGAAGGCGACUUUCUGGUCUGUAACUGACGCUGAUGUGCGAAAGCGUGGGGAUCAAACAGGAUUAGAUACCCUGGUAGNUCCGCCGUAACGAUGAGUGCUAAGUGUUAGGGGGUUUCCGCCCCUUAGUGCUGCAGCUAACGCAUUAAGCACUCCGCCUGGGGAGUACGACCGCAAGGUUG